rnacentral:rRNA from 1 species
AUUGAACGCUGGCGGCAGGCCUAACACAUGCAAGUCGAACGAGUGGCGGACGGGUGAGUAAUGUCUGGGAAACUGCCCGAUGGAGGGGGAUAACUACUGGAAACGGUAGCUAAUACCGCAUACCAUCGGAUGUGCCCAGAUGGGAUUAGCUAGGGGGUGGGGUAACGGCUCACCUAGGCGACGAUCCCUAGCUGGUCGGAGAGGAGGACCAGACACACUGGAACUGAGACACGGUCCAGCCUCAUACGAGAGGCAGCAGUGGGGAAUAUUGCACAAGGGGCGCAAGCCUGAUGCAGACAUGCCGCGUGUAUGAAGAAGGCCUUCGGGUUGUAAAGUACUUUCAGCGGGGAGGCGUUACCCGCAGAAGAAGCAACGGCUAACUCCGUGCCAGCAGCCGCGGUAAUAC